GACGUAGGAUGCAAGCGUUGUCCGGAUUUAUUGGGCGUAAAGAGUUCGUAGGCUGUUUGUUAAGUCUGAUGUUAAAGACUGGGGCUCAACCUCGGAAAUGCAUUGGAUACUGGCAGACUGGAGUGCAGUAGAGGCUAGUGGAAUUCCCAGUGUAGCGGUGAAAUGCGUAGAUAUUGGGAAGAACACCGGUGGCGUAGGCGACUAGCUGGGCUGUAACUGACGCUGAGGAACGAAAGCCAGGGGAGCGAAUGGG
rnacentral:rRNA from 1 species